UACGAAGGGGGCUAGCGUUGUUCGGAAUUACUGGGCGUAAAGCGCGCGCAGGCGGUUCUUCAAGUCAGAGGUGAAAGCCCAGAGCUCAACUCUGGAAUGGCCUUUGAGACUAGAGAACUAGGGUACGGGAGAGGUGAGUGGAAUUCCGAGUGUAGAGGUGAAAUUCGUAGAUAUUCGGAAGAACACCAGUGGCGAAGGCGGCUCACUGGACCGGUAUUGACGCUGAGGUGCGAAAGCGUGGGGAGCAAACAGG
rnacentral:rRNA from 1 species